rnacentral:rRNA from 1 species
UCGUAGGCGGUUUGUCGCGUCUGCUGUGAAAUCUGGGGGCUCAACCCCCAGCCUGCAGUGGGUACGGGCAGACUAGAGUGCGGUAGGGGAGAUUGGAAUUCCUGGUGUAGCGGUGGAAUGCGCAGAUAUCAGGAGGAACACCGAUGGCGAAGGCAGAUCUCUGGGCCGUAACUGACGCUGAGGAGCGAAAGCAUGGGGAGCGAACAGGAUUAGAUACCCUGGUAGUCCAUGCCGUAAACGUUGGGAACUAGAUGUGGGGACCAUUCCACGGUCUCCGUGUCGCAGCUAACGCAUUAAGUUCCCCGCCUGGGGAGUACGGCCGCAAGGCUAAAACUCAAAGGAAUUGACGGGGGCCCGCACAAGCGGCGGAGCAUGCGGAUUAAUUCGAUGCAACGCGAAGAACCUUACCAAGGCUUGACAUAUACCGGAAACGGCCAGAGAUGGUCGCCCCGCAAGGUCGGUAUACAGGUGGUGCAUGGUUGUCGUCAGCUCGUGUCGUGAGAUGUUGGGUUAAGUCCCGCAACGAGCGCAACCCUCGUUCUAUGUUGCCAGCACGUUAUGGUGGGAACUCAUAGGAGACUGCCGGGGUCAACUCGGAGGAAGGUGGGGAUGACGUCAAAUCAUCAUGCCCCUUAUGUCUUGGGCUUCACGCAUGCUACAAUGGCCGGUACAAAGGGCUGCGAUACCGUAAGGUGGAGCGAAUCCCAAAAAGCCGGUCUCAGUUCGGAUUGAGGUCUGCAACUCGACCUCAUGAAGUCGGAGUCGCUAGUAAUCGCAGAUCAGCAACGCUGCGGUGAAUACGUUCCCGGGCCUUGUACACACCGCCCGUCAAGUCAUGAAAGUCGGUAACACCCGAAGCCAGUGGCCUAACCCCUUGUGGGAUGGAGCUGUCGAAGGUGGGAUCGG